rnacentral:rRNA from 1 species
AUUGAACGCUGGCGGCAUGCUUUACACAUGCAAGUCGAACGGUAACAGGCCGCAAGGUGCUGACGAGUGGCGAACGGGUGAGUAAUGCAUCGGAACGUGCCCAGUCGUGGGGGAUAACGCAGCGAAAGCUGCGCUAAUACCGCAUACGAUCUAUGGAUGAAAGCGGGGGACCGUAAGGCCUCGCGCGAUUGGAGCGGCCGAUGUCAGAUUAGGUAGUUGGUGGGGUAAAGGCCCACCAAGCCAACGAUCUGUAGCUGGUCUGAGAGGACGACCAGCCACACUGGGACUGAGACACGGCCCAGACUCCUACGGGAGGCAGCAGUGGGGAAUUUUGGACAAUGGGCGCAAGCCUGAUCCAGCAAUGCCGCGUGCAGGAAGAAGGCCUUCGGGUUGUAAACUGCUUUUGUACGGAACGAAACGGUCCGGGUUAAUACCCUGGGCUAAUGACGGUACCGUAAGAAUAAGCACCGGCUAACUACGUGCCAGCCGCCGCGGUAAGAC